rnacentral:lncRNA from 1 species
UUCUAAACAGGCAUAAUUUUACACAGACAUAUGGUUUUUACAACGACAGUCGUGGAUAUAAUAUUAUGAAUUCUACUGCCGGAACUGCUUCUCCAAGCGUUUCCUUGGAAUUUUUGGUCACUGGAUAUAAGUGCGCUUUAGUAAAAGUGACGUUUGGGCAGCAGAUUGAUUCAGGUACCUCGCAUAAAGACGCACAGCCCUCUACUUUAAAAAGCACUAAGCACUCCAUGUGCGCGAUUUUGGUGAAGCACGCUUAUGUCAACGAAUCACAACCGUUUUGUCAACGCGACUUCUAUGCACGAUGCCAAACCACAACGGUAUACGAGGUAUACGACGAAAAAGAGUGCCGCACCACCCCAAGUAAAACACCGCACUGCUAGCUGGCACAAAAUUUCAAGC